UCAUCGGGUCAGGCCUUGGGCCAACGUAGGCACUCUCGCAGUUCCUCCGCCUUCAGGAAGGUCUUUUUGGCAGGGGCCUUACGGGUGCGCGCUUCGGUCCUGGAGGCGUUAUCCUAGCCUCCUCUCCAUCAGCGCCACCCGUCUGGGGCCCGAUAGGAGGGAGAUUUCCCUCUGUCCCCCAGCCUUUGGACUGUCACCAAACAAGCCAUUCGUUCACCAAAUACUUAUUAAGCGCCUACCAUGUGUCUGGCAAGGGAGAUGUAACAGUGAGAAAAACUAGGUGUGGUCCAGGCCCUCCAGGGGCUCAGGGGCUCGUGGAAGAAGUAGACAUUGAAGUACUUAUCACACAAAUGAGUAUAAAAGUACAAUAGCGAUAUCUGCCACGAAGGCGAGCAGACAGAGCUAGCGGGGCUUGCAGGAGGAGUUUUGAUCUUGCAGGGAUAGGAAGGAGGACUUAGUUCCUGCGGGGUGGGCUUGGGGGUGGUGGUGAUAGAGACGUGGGGACAGAGUGGAAAACAACAAAAAUAUAAUUAUUUUAGUUCAAAGUUAUUGUGUCUUGAGUUGAAAGGCAGGGCAGUUAGCAACACAGUUCAGAUUUCAGUACUGCCCCUGAAAUCUGAACUGUGUUCAAAGUCUAAAACGUUUACCUUAGCAAAUCCCUCAUAAAACUCCAUUUGGAAGAGUCCCGAGAGCGAAUUUGUUAAGUAUACUUGCAAAAGGUAGAUGAGGAGACAGAUAAAAUCUUAUUACCUCUUUCAGAUGAGAGGCACUUGAGCCCUGCUCAGCUAUGAGAAUAAGAGAGGGGAAUUAAUUCUAAUUGAAUACACUUGUUCUCUUAUAGCUGUUGUUCCACACCAGAACCAAAUGAACGCAAGAUCUGACAAAGAAAAAAAGAGGUUCAUCUUUUAUUCCCCCAAACCCUUUCAUUUAAAUCAAGAGGGUGGGAUGUGGUUAUUGCUGUGUUUUUAGGCAGAAUCAACGGUUUCUGGGUCUGAGAUGUUGCAUACACCCUCUCAGUCCCUGUAUCCUGAGAUGGAGUCACCUGAGAAUCCACAGCAAGUCCUAACCAGGGAUGGGUCUGGGUGAUUAAGGAAGGUUGGCUUCAGAACUGGGCCAGGGGCACUGCUUUGCUUUUGCUGUUUUGAUCAGCUCUCUGCCUGCAGGAGACAAGGAAAACCAAUGGGAACAGCUGGGGAAACUGAAUUACAGAGCUUUUCUGCACUGAAUCAUCAGGAGCAAAUGCUAGAUCAGAUAGGGUCUCUCUCUCUGCCACUCAGGCCACAGUGCAGUUGACGCAGGGCAGGGGAGCCCCGAAGUGGAGCAUAGUGUGUCCAGAACUGGUGGGUUCUUGGUCUCACUGACUUCAAGAAUGAAGCCACAGACCCUCGGGGUGAGUGUCACAG
rnacentral:lncRNA from 1 species